GGGCCCGCACAAGCGGUGGAGUAUGUGGUUUAAUUCGAUGCAACGCGAAGAACCUUACCAGGGUUUGACAUCCUGCGAAUCUCUUGGAAACAGGAGAGUGCCUUCGGGAACGCAGUGACAGGUGGUGCAUGGCUGUCGUCAGCUCGUGUCGUGAGAUGUUGGGUUAAGUCCCGCAACGAGCGCAACCCACGUCUUUAGUUGCCAGCAUUUAGUUGGGCACUCUAGAGAGACUGCCGGUGAUAAGCUGGAGGAAGGCGGGGAUGACGUCAAGUCCUCAUGGCCCUUACGGUCUGGGCUACACACGUGCUACAAUGGUGGUGACAGAGGGCAGCAAUAUCGCAAGAUAAAGCUAAAUCCCAAAAAACCAUCUCAGUUCGGAUUGGACUCUGCAACUCGAGUCCAUGAAGUUGGAAUCGCUAGUAAUCGU
rnacentral:rRNA from 1 species